UACGUAGGGGGCAAGCGUUGUCCGGAAUUAUUGGGCGUAAAGAGCGUGUAGGCGGUCCGGUAAGUCAGCUGUGAAAGUCAAGGGCUCAACCCUUGAAUGCCGGUUGAUACUGUCGGGCUAGAGUCCGGAAGAGGCGAGUGGAAUUCCCGGUGUAGCGGUGGAAUGCGUAGAGAGUGUGGAGGAACACCGAUGGCGAAGGCAGCCCCCUGGGUCAAGAUUGACGCUCAUGCACGAAAGCGUGGGGAGCAA
rnacentral:rRNA from 1 species